UAAUACCGCAUAAUGUACAGAGACCGCAUGGCCUUUGUACCAAAGGAGCAAUCCGCUUUGAAAUGAGCUCGCGUCCGAUUAGAUAGUUGGCGGGGUAACGGCCCACCAAGUCGACGAUCGGUAGCCGGACUGAGAGGUUGAUCGGCCACAUUGGGACUGAGAUACGGCCCAGACUCCUACGGGAGGCAGCAGUGGGGGAUAUUAGACAAUGGGGGAAACCCUGAUCUAGCAACGCCGCGUGAAGGAUGAAGGUUUUCGGAUUGUAAACUUCUUUGACGAGGGAAGAUAAUGACGGUACCUCGAGAACAAGCCACGGCUAACUACGUGCCAGCAGCCGCGGUAAUACGUAGGUGGCGAGCGUUGUCCGGAUUUACUGGGUGUAAAGGGCGUGUAGGCGGGACUGCAAGUCAGAUGUGAAAUACGGAGGCUUAACCUCCGGGCUGCAUUUGAAACUGCAAUUCUUGAGUGAUGGAGAGGUAAGCGGAAUUCCCGGUGUAGAGGUAAAAUUCGUAGAUAUCGGGAGGAACACCAGUGGCGAAGGCGGCUUACUGGACAUUAACUGACGCUGAGGCGCGAAAGUGUGGGGAGCAAACAGGAUUAGAUACCCUGGUAGUCCACACUGUAAACGAUGGAUACUAGGUGUGGGGGGACUGACCCCUUCCGUGCCGGAGUUAACACAAUAAGUAUCCCACCUGGGGAGUACGGUCGCAAGAUUAAAACUCAAAGGAAUUGACGGGGACCCGCACAAGCAGUGGAGUAUGUGGUUUAAUUCGACGCUACGCGAAAAACCUUACCAAGGCUUGACAUCCUACUAACGAAGUAGAGAUACAUUAGGUGCCCCUCGGGGAAAGUAGAGACAGGUGGUGCAUGGUUGUCGUCAGCUCGUGUCGUGAGAUGUUGGGUUAAGUCCCGCAACGAGCGCAACCCCUGUGGUUAGUUGCUACGCAAGAGCACUCUAGCCAGACUGCCGUUGACAAAACGGAGGAAGGUGGGGACGACGUCAAAUCAUCAUGCCCUUUAUGUCUUGGGCUACACACGUACUACAAUGGCGGUCAACAAAGGGCAGCGAAGGCGCGAGCCGGAGCAAAUCCCCAAAAGCCGCCCCAGUUCAGAUUGCAG
rnacentral:rRNA from 1 species